UCUCCUGUAGCUCAUUGGUAGAGCGUCCGACCGGUGUGCGGAAGGUCAUAGGUUUGACCGCUGUUAGGAGAA